GCAGGGAUCCCGGCGCGGGGUGAGGCGGCCCGGGUUGCCAUGGGGACGGCGGGCCGCACACACGCAGGAACAGCCGGCGGUUUAUUGCGCGGGCACACCUGUCUGGGCGCUCCGCUCUUUGCUCCGCCGGACGGACGGCACGAACGUUCUCCGGCGAUAAAGGCCGAAGGAGGAUGCGCGGCUCCAGGUGCCAUCUUUGCCGGGUGAUGCCAGUCCCAAGAAGCGAUGCCCAAGAGCUCUGAAAAAGAAGUUGCCGAAUCGGUCGCUCGGACGUUAAACCUGUGACAGACAGGCCCAGCAAACCUCCAUCAGUGCCUUUGUGCAUAGUGCAAUUAAAACUGAUUGUCAUUAGCUGA